rnacentral:ncRNA from 1 species
AAGGAAGUCGGCAAAAUGACCCCGUAACUUCGGUAGAAGGGGUGUUCUCCUAUCUUUUGAUUAGGAAAGAGGCACAUAUCGGGGGGUAGCGAAUGUUUAUUAAAAAUACAGGACUCUAAUAAGUGGUAACACGAUGUAUAGAGUCUGACACCUAUCCGAUGCUGGAAGGUCGAAAGGAGAAGUGUUAUAAGCUUUGAAUGGAAGCCCCGGUAAACGGCAACAGUAACUCUAACUGUCCUACGGUAGCGCGAAAUUAUUUAUUUAUCUAAUUUACAAAAUUAAGAAAAAAUAAUUACAUUUUUUCUU